rnacentral:lncRNA from 1 species
AAGUCUGCAUCUUCAAAUGCCCCCAGCUCUGUCUAGUCUGAUGAGAGAGGAGAAUGGCCAGGCCUGAGAAGUGGCUUAUGGUUGGAGGGGAGUCGGAAAGGGAAGGAGGAUUUCUCAGAAGGAAUCAAAGGAGCUCAGCCCCCUUGGUGAUCCCCACUUCCUGGGGAACGGGCCUUUUCCUGGCAGUACUGUGCUGCGACCCCGUGUGAUCGGGAGAAGGGCAGGGCACUGUUCCUUCCCUGUGCCCCUCCCCUCUGCCAUCAGUCUCCACCUCUCUGUAUUUACCUGUCUGCCCUCUCGCCCCUAAACCUCUUUUCUGUCCCCAUCUGGCUUCCCUCUCCAUGAGGAUGGCCCUGCAAGUGGAUUCAAUUCAGUUUCUUGGCUGCGGAGGAUGAAAAAGCAAGGAGGGUCUCAGGAACGGAGCGCAGCUGUUAGGAGCGGCUCACAAGGGAGGAGGAAUAGGAAGCACAGUCAAGAGGAACCCAUCAUCUGGUAUUGAAAGGUAGAUGUGCAGAAGUCCACCCAUGUGUGAUAGAGACAGAAUACUCAGCAGAUAUUUCCCAGGCUCCCCUGCAGGCUCAGCCCCUGCAGAGGGGAAGUGGAUAAGCCUCAUUUCUGGACUGAAGUUGCACGUUGAAUGGGUAAAGCCCGUGGUCAUAAGCAAGCUGGUUCAAUGACAUGGAAGACACACACACACUAGUAGACUGUUUAUCUUUUUUCUAAAGCAAGAAAAACCAC